GCGCCUUAUACGGUUCGCAAUGAUGCAUCUGAUUUGUACAUCCCGAAAGCUUUGUAUAAAAGAUUCAUGGACAGAAUCUUGCAGUUCAGCGUUCAAAUGCUAGAUUUGUAUCCACAAACAGUGUAUCGCUUAAGUGAACUUGUUAUUGCAGUUUUAAAACGAGGUUCUCCAGAAAUGAUUCACCAGUUUUUCAUUGACUAUUCCCAUGAGAUGUCCCUAAAGAUAAUGGCUGUUGUAAACAUUUCUACUAGUCCAAAAGCUCUUGGUCUGAAAGCGCUAACUUUGCAAGAUGCUGUUAUCAGUCAUCAAAUUGCUGAUUUGCUUCAUUUUUACAUGCUUUAUUUGAGGUAGGUAAUGCAAGUGAAAAAUCAAUAUUUUAGUUUAAGAAUAUUUUAGUCUAAAUCACCUCUGCAUAUUGAAUGUGAUGACAGUGGCGGUCACUCCUGUAAUAUGAGUGAGGCCUUCUAUGUCAAGUGCAAUAAGAUUAAUGAGCUUACUUUGGCAGUUCUUUGCCAAGGUAUUUACCUGGGAAUAUUUUGAUUUUUUCUGAGGAUAACUUUCAUGGUACAAUAUCUUUUUCCUAUAUGAAUACUUUGUUGUUUACUACAUGCUAAUUUUUUGUAACCCAUUUUUGUAACAUUUUUUGUUCAUUUCAGUAUAUGUAUGGUUUGCUUGAAUAACUGGCCAUAACUCAUCUUUGAUUUUUUUUUUCAGGAAAUGAGAAUUGACUGUGGAAAAGCUAUGGAGAAAAAGGAUAUACAAAAAGUCCUUUUAAAGCUGUUACAAAGCACCUCUGAAGUUUUGCAACAGAGUCACAAAUUGGACUAUUUAAACCUUCCAUUAAUCUCUAUGCCGAAAAUGGUGGCUCCUCUUCUAUUGGUCAUAGAUGUUAUUUUGAAAGUGUCAACCCACUUGUCACGUAAAGCUUAUGCGCAUGAUGUAAGUUUACUUCAAAUCAACCAGUAACAAUCUACUAUCAAUCUGUCAAAAUAGGAACGUAUCAUAUUCCUAUAAGUAAAGUGUCCAAUAGGGCUGUGCGAGCCUGAUUUUAUAGGUUCGAGCCGAGCUCGAGCUUUUUUAGACUUUUUCGAGCCGAGCUCAAACUUUUUUCGAGCUUGUGAAUAGGAUCGAGCUCGAGCUUUUUAAAAAUUUAAUGAUGCAUUUCUUCCCGGUUUUAUUACGAAACUCUACUUCAGUAUUCCCUCCAACAAUUUUUUUGUUGGACAUUUCUCAAACUCGAUACCUUCGAGUCGAGCUCGAGCUUGAAUUUAACCUUCGAGCCGAGCUCGAGCUUGGCGCCGGGCUCGAGCUCAAAUAUCGAGUGCUCGCUCAGCCCUAGUAUCCAAUAAAAUAUGGAAAGAGUAGGCAGUAACCAGCCAAGUAAAUUAAUAUAUCCAAAGAAAUGAAAUGAGAACAUGAUUGAACUAUGAUUCAUUUUAUAAAAAAUUCAUCAAUAUUGGUCAAACAGGUAUCUGAAAAGUCUGUAACUCCCCCCCCUCCCCAUCCUAACAUUAUUUCUCCUUGAACCAUUGAAAUGAAAUUAUUGCUGCAAU
rnacentral:lncRNA from 1 species